UACGGGAGGCAGCAGUGGGGAAUAUUGCACAAUGGGCGCAAGCCUGAUGCAGCCAUGCCGCGUGUAUGAAGAGGGCCUUCGGGUUGUAAAGUACUUUCAGUCGUGAGGAAGGUGUUAAGGUUAAUAACCUUAGCAAUUGACGUUAGCGACAGAAGAAGCACCGGCUAACUCCGUGCCAGCAGCCGCGGUAAUACGGAGGGUGCGAGCGUUAAUCGGAAUUACUGGGCGUAAAGGGCACGCAGGCGGUUAAUUAAGUUGGAUGUGAAAUCCCCGGGCUUAACCUGGGAAUGGCAUUCAAGACUGGUUAGCUAGAGUCUUGUAGAGGGGGUAGAAUUCCAUGUGUAGCGGUGAAAUGCGUAGAGAUGUGGAGGAAUACCGGGUGGCGAAGGCGGCCCCUGGGACAAAGACUGACGCUCAUGUGCGAAAGCGUGGGGAGCGAAACAGGGAUUAGAUACC
rnacentral:rRNA from 1 species